rnacentral:rRNA from 1 species
UGGGGAAUAUUCGUCAAUGGGCGAAAGCCUGAACGAGCGAUGCCGCGUGUGGGAUGAAGGCCCUUGGGUCGUAAACCACUUUUGUUAUAGAAAAACUUACGUGAUGGUAUAUAGCGAAUAAGAGGUUACUAACUCUGUGCCAGCAGUAGCGGUAAUACAGAGACCUCAAGCGUUAUCCGGAUUUAUUGGGCGUAAGGAGCAGGUAGGUGGAAAUAUUAGUCAGAUGUCAAAUCCUUCGACUCAAUCGAAGAACUGCAUUUGAAACGGUAUUUCUAGAGGGAGUGAGAGAUUACUGGAACUUAUGGUGUAGCAGUGAAAUGCGUUGAUAUCAUGAGGAACACCAAAGGCGAAGGCAUGUAAUUGGCACUCUCCUGACACUGAGCUGCGAAAGCGUGGGUAGCGAAUGGGAUUAGAUACCCCAGUAGUCCCUGAGCGGGCUGGCAAGGCGCAU